AACGAACGCUGGCGGCAGGCUUAACACAUGCAAGUCGAGCGCCCCGCAAGGGGAGCGGCAGACGGGUGAGUAACGCAUGGGAAUCUACCCAUCCCUACGGAAUAGCUCCGGGAAACUGGAAUUAAUACCGUAUACGCCCUACGGGGGAAAGAUUUAUCGGGGAUGGAUGAGCCCGCGGUGGAUUAGCUAGUUGGUGGGGUAAAGGCCUACCAAGGCGACGAUCCAUAGCUGGUCUGAGAGGACGAUCAGCCACAUUGGGACUGAGACACGGCCCAAACUCCUACGGGAGGCAGCAGUGGGGAAUAUUGGACAAUGGGGGCAACCCUGAUCCAGCCAUGCCGCGUGAGUGAUGAAGGCCUUAGGGUUGUAAAGCUCUUUCACCGGGGAAGAUAAUGACGGUACCCGGAGAAGAAGCCCCGGCUAACUUCGUGCCAGCCGCCGCCGUAAAAC
rnacentral:rRNA from 1 species